UGGGGAAUAUUGGGCAAUGGGCGAAAGCCUGACCCAGCAACGCCGCGUGAAGGAAGAAGGCCUUCGGGUUGUAAACUUCUUUUACCAGGGACGAAGGACGUGACGGUACCUGGAGAAUAAGCUCCGGCUAACUACGUGCCAGCAGCCGCGGUAAUACGUAGGGAGCAAGCGUUGUCCGGAUUUACUGGGUGUAAAGGGUGCGUAGGCGGCAGAGCAAGUCAGAUGUGAAAUCCGUGGGCUUAACCCACGAACUGCAUUUGAAACUGUUUUGCUUGAGUGAAGUAGAGGCAGGCGGAAUUCCCUGUGUAGCGGUGAAAUGCGUAGAGAUAGGGAGGAACACCAGUGGCGAAGGCGGCCUGCUGGGCUUUAACUGACGCUGAGGCACGAAAGCGUGGGUAGCAAACAGGAUUAGAUACCCUGGUAGU
rnacentral:rRNA from 1 species